rnacentral:rRNA from 1 species
GAUGAACGCUGGCGGCGUGCUUAACACAUGCAAGUCGAACGGUGAACGAGGGAGCUUGCUCCCUCCGGAUCAGUGGCGAACGGGUGAGUAACACGUGAGCAAUCUGCCCUGGACUCUGGGAUAAGCGUUGGAAACGACGUCUAAUACCGGAUACGAGGCGUGGGGGCAUCCCCAACGCCUGGAAAGAACUUCGGUCCAGGAUGAGCUCGCGGCCUAUCAGCUAGUUGGUGAGGUAACGGCUCACCAAGGCGACGACGGGUAGCCGGCCUGAGAGGGUGACCGGCCACACUGGGACUGAGACACGGCCCAGACUCCUACGGGAGGCAGCAGUGGGGAAUAUUGCACAAUGGGCGCAAGCCUGAUGCAGCAACGCCGCGUGAGGGACGACGGCCUUCGGGUUGUAAACCUCUUUUAGUAGGGAAGAAGCGAAAGUGACGGUACCUGCAGAAAAAGCACCGGCUAACUACGUGCCAGCAGCCGCGGUAAAAC